UUGUAGCAAAUCAUUUAUUAAAAAAAAAUAAAUAAGCUUAACACAAAAGUAGAAAAAGAAAUAAUAGUAACGUGGUCUCGGGCAUCUACCAUUAUACCCACAAUGAUCGGCCAUACUAUUGCUAUACAUAAUGGAAAUGAGCAUUUACCUAUUUAUAUAACAGAUCGUAUGGUGAGCCACAAAUUGGGAGAAUUUGCACCUACUCGAAAUUUCCGGGGACAUGCAAAAAAUGAUAAUAAAUCUCGUCGUUAAUUCGUUAAUUUUAAUUCCUAAAUAAUUAAUAUUUAAAAUUAAUAAAAUGAAUAUUUCAUUUUAAAUUUAAAUAAAUAUUUAAAUAUUAAAUAAAAAAUGAAUAUUAAUAUUAUUAAAAAAAAUUUAAUAUUAUUAAAUAAAAAGAUUGAAAUUAAUAUUAAAUAAAAUUAAUAAAAUUAAUAUUAAAUAUAAAUAAAUAAAUAAAAAUUCAAUUUAAUUGAAAUUUUCUUUAUUUUAAAAGUUUCAUUUAAAUUGAAAAGGAAAAUAUAGAUAUUUGAAUAGUGAAUAGUAUUUUGUAAUUUAGAUUUAGAGUAAUAGUAAUUUAGAAUUAAAGAUAUGUAUAUUUAUUAGUUUCAUUUUACAAUUUAAAUUUUUUUUCUGACUUUUCUCGUUCAUUAAAAUUAUUACUUUAUUUAUGACAUUAAAAAAAAAAGAGGUUAAUAAACGGAAGUAUAUGCUUUAGGCCAACAUAUAUGUAUGUCCACUCACAAAGCACGAAGAAUAAUGUUAUCCCAUUUUGAAAUUAAUUUAUUCUGCAGCAGCAAACGCUCGCCACAAUAUGGGUUUCAACGAAGCCAAUUUAAUCAUUAGUAAAGCCGGAGUCAACGAAGGUGCUACUGUGAAAAAAUUAAAACCUCAGGCUCAAGGGCGGGGUUAUCUGAUAAAAAGAUCAACCUGUCAUAUAACUAUUGUAUUAAAAAAUAUGUCUUUAUAUGAAGAAUAUGAAGAAUAUAACAUAUGCUUAAAAAACCGGGGGUGGAUAAAAAAAACGAAAUCCACAGAUGCGACAUUUCAUGAUAUGUAUAGUAAGUAGUAGGGGAUUAUGGGACAAAAAAUAAAUCCACUUGGUUUCCGACUUGGUACAACCCAAAGUCAUUAUUCUCUUUGGUUUGCUGAACCAAAAAAUUACUUUGAGGGUCUACAAGAAGAUCAAAAAAUAAGAAACUGUAUCAAGAAUUAUGUAAAAAACAAUACAAAAAUAUCUUCUAGUGUUGAGGGAAUUGCAUGUAUAGAGAUUAAAAAAAGAAUUGAUGUGAUUCAAAUAAUAAUAUAUAUGGGAUUCACAAAAUUAUUAAUAGAAAGUAAACCUAAACGAAUCGAGAAAUUACAGAUAAAUGUAUAAAAAGAACUAAAUUGUGCGAACCGAAAACUCAAUAUUGCUAUUACAAGAAUUUCAAACCCUUAUGGGCACCCUAAUAUUCUUGCAGAAUUUAUAGCCGGACAAUUAAAGAAUAGAGUUUCAUUUCGCAAAGCAAUGAAAAAAGCUAUUGAAUUAACUGAACAGGCGGAUACAAAAAGAAUUCAAGUACAAAUUGCGGGGCGUCUUGAUGGAAAAGAAAUUGCACGCGUCGAGUGGAUUAGAGUUAGAACCAUUUAUGGGGUAUUAGGCAUAAAAAUUUGGACAUUUCUAGACAAAAAAUAAUAAACCCUUACUUGACUUGUCUUUACAUUCUAUCUAUUGAUAAAACAAAAAUGACAAACUCUUUGAUUCUUUUUUUUUAUUAUAAAACAAAAAUGACAAACUCUUUGAUUCUUUUUUUUUUUAUUAUUAAAAAAAAAAAGAAUCAAUUCGAAUUAUAUUUCUAUAGGGUUGAAUAAAAUAAAAAAUUCGAUUGAUAAUUUGAUAUAAUUGCUAUGCUUAGUGUGUGACUCGUUGGUUAUUUAGGUUUAGGAUUAAAAAAAAGGACUGACUCAUACUAUGAACUAAUAAGUAUAAAUAUACAACUAAUAACCAAAUACAACUAAUAACCAACUCAUCGCUUUGCAUUAUCUAGAUCCAAGGAAACAUUCAAGAUAUGAUAUAUUGCUCAUAUUUUUAUUUAUUAUUGGAGCAAUUAAAAUCCUUUUUGCACAAACAAAACAAAAAAUAAAAGAAAAACCAAUCUGAUUUGAUUAGGAGUUGUAAAUCAAAAUAAAAAUUAUGCGGAUAAAUAGAAGGAUGAAAGAAAGAGAGAAAAAAAUAUCAAUGAUCUAUGAUUCCGAUAUGUAAGGUCUAUGAAUCAUCAGAUAAAGGCUAAUGUACUAAAGCAUCAAUACCAAUUGACUAUAAUGAAACUAAUUCAUUCAUAAAACAAAAAAUCAAGAGCCUCGAGCCAAUAAAGACUGAGAAGAUUGACUGAAGAACAAAUCAAAUUAGAG
rnacentral:lncRNA from 1 species